AUAGAAGGCCCUGUAGCUUUUUUAUUUUUGUUUGUCGAGGCUCGUCUCACUUUUUAAAGGCAAACCUAAAGUAAACUACGAGAUACUACAUUGUUUGCCUCUAAAAAAGAGAAAUCCUAAUUUAUUCACUGAGAUCAUCUAGAGUCAUUAUAAUCGGGCUACAUGAAAUGCACCCCGUAAAUCUGCCACCACAUAAAUCCUCCCAUUGAAUUUGUUUUGAGCCUGAUUGCUAUUAUCAAAUCAACACUAACAAGCUUAGAUGGAACUAAAUAUUUCCAGACCUACAAACAUAUUACAUGCCAAUAAGAAAAAAUAUAAUGUGUCCUUCUUUACUUAAACUGAAAAAAUACCAUUUUCGCAAGACUUGUACGCUCCAAUUAUAUGAAUGUAAUCAAAUGUACAAUUUGAGUCAGUGUAAUGAACUAACAGUACAAUUGAUACAUCUUAGAGCAAGAAACAAUACUAACCAUGUUUAAAGCACUUGACAUAUAAAAAAAUGGCGUCGAAGACUGUUCAAAUUCAACGACCAAAGAAACCUUGAAACGGAGCUUCCAAACUAAACCACGAAACGGCGACCUCGUCACCUCGACAGAUCGGGAACCUCGCCGGAAAAGAACUCGAAAUGAGCUUUUGGACUCGUAAUGUUCUUAGCUUUUACCCAUUUUCGCUUUCUUUACUGUUCUUGACGUGUUUUCGGUUUUGGACCGAAAGUUGUCUACUGGUCGAGCUGGUUUGGCGACGAAAGGGAAACAGCUGGUUGAGGGUCGUUUGGGACAAAGGGAAGGCAGCUGGUUGAGGGUCGUUGGAACGUGGGGUAUGACGAGAUGAGGGGUCUGUUUGGUUUUCCAGCGGGCUGGUUUGGCGGAGGAAACUGGGGCUGGAUGGUUGGCGUGGAACUAGACAGUGAAGGAGAUGAAGGGAGGUGGUCAACUAUAGGAUGAAGCAGCAACUGGCCGGCGAGCUGUUGUGCUGGUUCGUUUGGCGAUGGGGUGAUGUUUGGACUGGUUUGAGGGUGUUCGACUAGACGUUGGUGGCUGGUUGGUUAUGGUGUGUUGAUGGAGGAAGGACUAUUAUUGCUGGAGACAGGAAUGGAGAAGACCAUCGGUGUGUUUCUUUUUUUUUGGUUUUUUGUUUUCUAAGGUUUCUUCUUCAAAAAAAAUAAAGAAGAAGAUGAAUAGUCAGGCCUGUGUAUUUUUUGUCUCCAAGGCCCUAAGGUGUCCCCCUUUAAAAAAAUGAAGACCCU
rnacentral:lncRNA from 1 species